GUUAUACUCCCCCCGUCCCAAAAAGCUUGUCUUAGAUUUGUCUUGAUACAGAUGUGUCUAGACACAUUUUAGUGUUAGAUUUAUCUGUAUCUAGAUAAAUCUAAGACAACCUUUUUGGGAUGGACGUAACAG
rnacentral:pre_miRNA from 1 species